rnacentral:rRNA from 1 species
GACGAACGCUGGCGGCGUGCCUAAUACAUGCAAGUCGAACGCUUUUUCUUUCACCGGAGCUUGCUCCACCGAAAGAAAAAGAGUGGCGAACGGGUGAGUAACACGUGGGUAACCUGCCCAUCAGAAGGGGAUAACACUUGGAAACAGGUGCUAAUACCGUAUAACACUAUUUUCCGCAUGGAAGAAAGUUGAAAGGCGCUUUUGCGUCACUGAUGGAUGGACCCGCGGUGCAUUAGCUAGUUGGUGAGGUAACGGCUCACCAAGGCAACGAUGCAUAGCCGACCUGAGAGGGUGAUCGGCCACACUGGGACUGAGACACGGCCCAGACUCCUACGGGAGGCAGCAGUAGGGAAUCUUCGGCAAUGGACGAAAGUCUGACCGAGCAACGCCGCGUGAGUGAAGAAGGUUUUCGGAUCGUAAAACUCUGUUGUUAGAGAAGAACAAGGAUGAGAGUAAAAUGUUCAUCCCUUGACGGUAUCUAACCAGAAAGCCACGGCUAACUACGUGCCAGCAGCCGCGGUAAUACGUAGGUGGCAAGCGUUGUCCGGAUUUAUUGGGCGUAAAGCGAGCGCAGGCGGUUUCUUAAGUCUGAUGUGAAAGCCCCCGGCUCAACCGGGGAGGGUCAUUGGAAACUGGGAGACUUGAGUGCAGAAGAGGAGAGUGGAAUUCCAUGUGUAGCGGUGAAAUGCGUAGAUAUAUGGAGGAACACCAGUGGCGAAGGCGGCUCUCUGGUCUGUAACUGACGCUGAGGCUCGAAAGCGUGGGGAGCGAACAGGAUUAGAUACCCUGGUAGUCCACGCCGUAAACGAUGAGUGCUAAGUGUUGGAGGGUUUCCGCCCUUCAGUGCUGCAGCAAACGCAUUAAGCACUCCGCCUGGGGAGUACGACCGCAAGGUUGAAACUCAAAGGAAUUGACGGGGGCCCGCACAAGCGGUGGAGCAUGUGGUUUAAUUCGAAGCAACGCGAAGAACCUUACCAGGUCUUGACAUCCUUUGACCACUCUAGAGAUAGAGCUUCCCCUUCGGGGGCAAAGUGACAGGUGGUGCAUGGUUGUCGUCAGCUCGUGUCGUGAGAUGUUGGGUUAAGUCCCGCAACGAGCGCAACCCUUAUUGUUAGUUGCCAUCAUUUAGUUGGGCACUCUAGCGAGACUGCCGGUGACAAACCGGAGGAAGGUGGGGAUGACGUCAAAUCAUCAUGCCCCUUAUGACCUGGGCUACAC